rnacentral:rRNA from 1 species
CGAACGGGAUCCCUGGCAGCUUGCUGCCGGGGUGAGAGUGGCGAACGGGUGAGUAAUGCGUGACCGACCUGCCCCAUGCACCGGAAUAGCUCCUGGAAACGGGUGGUAAUGCCGGAUGUUCCACAUGAGCGCAUGCGAGUGUGGGAAAGGCUUUUGCGGCAUGGGAUGGGGUCGCGUCCUAUCAGCUUGUUGGUGGGGUAACGGCCUACCAAGGCGUUGACGGGUAGCCGGCCUGAGAGGGCGACCGGCCACAUUGGGACUGAGAUACGGCCCAGACUCCUACGGGAGGCAGCAGUGGGGAAUAUUGCACAAUGGGCGCAAGCCUGAUGCAGCGACGCCGCGUGCGGGAUGGAGGCCUUCGGGUUGUAAACCGCUUUUGUUCAAGGGCAAGGCACGGUUUCGGCCGUGUUGAGUGGAUUGUUCGAAUAAGCACCGGCUAACUACGUGCCAGCAGCCGCGGUAAUACGUAGGGUGCAAGCGUUAUCCGGAUUUAUUGGGCGUAAAGGGCUCGUAGGCGGUUCGUCGCGUCCGGUGUGAAAGUCCAUCGCUUAACGGUGGAUCCGCGCCGGGUACGGGCGGGCUUGAGUGCGGUAGGGGAGACUGGAAUUCCCGGUGUAACGGUGGAAUGUGUAGAUAUCGGGAAGAACACCAAUGGCGAAGGCAGGUCUCUG